AUUGAACGCUGGCGGAAUGCUUUACACAUGCAAGUCGAACGGCAGCACGGACUUCGGUCUGGUGGCGAGUGGCGAACGGGUGAGUAAUGCAUCGGAACGUGCCCAAUCGUGGGGGAUAACGUAGCGAAAGUUACGCUAAUACCGCAUACGAUCUAAGGAUGAAAGCGGGGGAUCGCAAGACCUCGCGCGAAUGGAGCGGCCGAUGUUAGAUUAGGUAGUUGGUGGGGUAAAGGCUCACCAAGCCGACGAUCUAUAGCUGGUCUGAGAGGAUGAUCAGCCACACUGGGACUGAGACACGGCCCAGACUCCUACGGGAGGCAGCAGUGGGGAAUUUUGGACAAUGGGCGCAAGCCUGAUCCAGCCAUUCCGCGUGCAGGAUGAAGGCCCUCGGGUUGUAAACUGCUUUUGUACAGAACGAAAAGCUCUGGGUUAAUACCCUGGGGUCAUGACGGUACUGUAAGAAUAAGCACCGGCUAACUACGUGCCAGCCGCCGCGGUAA
rnacentral:rRNA from 1 species